UGUGACUCAGACAGCUCAAUCCUCUAGUCUGGUGAGGAAAAAAAAGUCGGUUGAGCCUGACAGUGCCAGCUUGUAUUCGCUGUUCAGAAAGGCAGCUUUAAAAAGCAGAACAAUUUAGCAGUGGGUGAGAUUUUUCAAUCCACAGCGUGGGGGAAAAAGAUAAUUAUCGCGAGAUCUGGGAAGGGAUCUGCGUUUUGUGGUAAGAUGGCAACCCAAGAGACAGUGUUUCCUGAAAAACUUGGCCACAAAAAAUACAGGGCUGCCCUUAAGAAGGAGAAACGCAAGAAACGUAGGCAGAAUAUGGCUCGACUGAGGGACCUUGCAGCCCCUCCGGAGGAGGACGAUGAUGUUUCUGCUGAUGAACAACUUACAGAGAGAUUGGAGAUGGAGCGACAAAAAUUACAUGAAGAGUGGCUGCUUAGGGAGGAGAAGGCACAAGAAGAAUUCAGAAUAAAGAAGGAAAAGGAAGAAGCUGCUAGAAAACAGAGGGAAGAACAGGAGAGACAGAUAAAGUUGGAAUGGGAAGAAAAACAGAAAAAACAGAGAGAAGAGGAGGAGCAGAAGCUACAAAAAAAGAGAGAAAGAGAGGAAGCGGUGCAGAAGAUGCUGGACCAGGCUGAAAAUGAUGGCACUUGGCAGAACCCAGAACCACCCAAGGAAUUAAGACUGGAGAAAUACCGAGCGAGCUGUCCCUUCUACAGUAAAACGGGCGCGUGCCGAUUCGGUAACAGGUGUUCACGGAAGCACGACUUCCCCACGUCAAGUCCCACGCUCCUGGUGAAGAGCAUGUUUACGACCUUCGGAAUGGAGCAGUGCAGAAGGGACGACUAUGACUCGGACGCCAGCCUGGAGUACAGCGAGGAGGAGACCUACCAGCAGUUCCUGGACUUCUACUAUGAUGUGCUGCCCGAGUUCAAGAACGUGGGCAAAGUGAUUCAGUUCAAGGUGAGCUGCAACUUGGAACCUCAUCUGCGGGGCAAUGUGUAUGUCCAGUACCAGUCUGAAGAAGAAUGCCAAGCAGCCCGCUCUCUCUUUAACGGAAGAUGGUACGCGGGACGACAGCUGCAGUGUGAAUUCUGCCCGGUGACCCGGUGGAAAAUCGCAAUUUGUGGUUUAUUUGAAAUGCAAAAGUGUCCAAAAGGAAAGCACUGCAACUUUCUCCAUGUGUUCAGAAACCCCAACAAUGAAUUUCGAGAAGCUAACAGAGACCUCUACCUGUCUCCAGCUGGGGCUGGCUGCUCUGGUAAGACCUCCUCAGACAGGAGGGAGAGGAAGGACCACCAUGAGGAAUACUACAGCAAGUCAAGGGCCUCCCACUCUAGCCCACACCGCUCCUCCAAGAGAAGCAGGGAGUCGGAGAGGAAGAGUACUCACAGGAGGAAGAGAUCUCACAAACAGGAAGCACAGGGUCAUGAGAGGCACAGUUCCAGAAGAGGAAGAGAAGAGGACAACAGUCCAGGCCCACAAAGCCAGAGCCACAGGUCCUGAGCCAGGCAUCACUUGGGCCCAAGAAUCUGAGACCAACCAGUCAACCCCAGUAUCCUUCAGAUACCCCAAGACGCUCAAAACAAAACUGAUUACGAAGGAAAGGCAUGGUGACUCAAUCUAAUUCCCAGCCAAGUUACAAAGUCUUGUGGCUUUAACAGAGACAGAACCAGAUAUUUCGCAUUGCCCACCAAGCUCAUGAGUCUCCUGCCUCAGCUUCCCGUAGUUAGGACUGCAGGCACAUACCACUGUGCCCAACUCUGUUGCCUUUUCAAUGCAGCUGGCACAUUCAAGCACUACCCAUCCAAAUGUCCUACAGAUGUCUAACAAGUGCCUACCACAUGCCAGAAAUAAGUAUUAAAUAAAGUAUAUAAUAAAGUUCUGCCUUCUUUACAGAUGUACAAGGUAGUAAGUAUAUUAUAAAAAAAUCACAUAGUAUUAUUGAUUCUUCAUACCAAAUUAUAAACGUAAGCUGAAAAAAUUAGACAGUGUGCUGUCGCUGGUGGUCCACAUCUUUAAUCCCAGCACACUCUACAAAUCCAAGGCCAGUGUGAGCUACAGAGUGACACCCUGUUUCAAAAAAGCCAAUAGAUACUGGCUGGAGAGAUGGCUCAGUGGCCAAGAGCACCAGCUACACAUAUCAUGACUACCUUAUUAAUUUCACAAUUCCUUGGGUGCUACGCAGAAGUCAGAACUGUAGUGGUGGGGCCAGCAAGCACUGGGUAAAUGUGCAGGCUACCAAGAUGGGCGUUUGAUUCCCUGGACCUACGUGGUGGAAGGACAAAACUGACUCCUAUAAGUUGUCUUCUGACCGCCACAUGUGCACCAUAGCACACGUGUA